rnacentral:rRNA from 1 species
UUAUGAGAGUUUGAUCCUGGCUCAGGACGAACGCUGGCGGCGUGCCUAAUACAUGCAAGUCGAACGCUUUUUCUUUCACCGGAGCUUGCUCCACCGAAAGAAAAAGAGUGGCGAACGGGUGAGUAACACGUGGGUAACCUGCCCAUCAGAAGGGGAUAACACUUGGAAACAGGUGCUAAUACCGUAUAACACUAUUUUCCGCAUGGAAGAAAGUUGAAAGGCGCUUUUGCGUCACUGAUGGAUGGACCCGCGGUGCAUUAGCUAGUUGGUGAGGUAACGGCUCACCAAGGCAACGAUGCAUAGCCGACCUGAGAGGGUGAUCGGCCACACUGGGACUGAGACACGGCCCAGACUCCUACGGGAGGCAGCA